AUACAAUGGAGAGUUUGAUCCUGGCUCAGGAUGAACGCUAGCGGGAGGCCUAACACAUGCAAGCCGAGCGGUAUUUGUCUUUC
rnacentral:rRNA from 1 species